UCGCAGACGUAUAGUGUACUCAUACCCUCUGCUGUCAACAGACCUGCUACUGCACCUCCGGUAGCGGCGCGCGGACGGCGUGGUUCUUGGAAAGGGUGUGGCCGUUCGCGAUUUUAACUUGUUUUUGCCAUCGAGUUCAACGCGUAGCCUACAUUUUCUCUUGCUAUAGCAGUUAUUCCAUACCGUGUAUAACACAUGUUCUAGUCUAUUUUCACGGUGACAGUGUGCAUAUAAGAGCACUGUAACAACAUUAGGAGUCCCCGGUCCCCUUAUCAGGGUCAUCAUUUUUCUAAGUGUGAUGUUUUGUCAUCUACAUGUGAAGGUGACAUUUGCAGUUCAAUUGCGCCUGCCUGUCAAUGCAAUAAUGGACUGCAAUAUGUUACAGCUGCCAGAGGGGGGAGUGAUCGAUUCAGCCCUAUUAGCUAUAGUCUUUCACUCACAUACACACACACACACACACACACACACUUAACCUAGCUCUAAUGCCUGACCCUAAACCUAACUCGUAAUGCCUAAACCUGAAAGUAACCUGGAAUCCCACCAAUCCCUAAUUGUAAAUUUUUCCCUAAAAACCCUUGAACCGGAAAUUGCUCAGUUUCCUCAGUUGGGACCGAUUUCGUGUGUUUUUCUGCCUUUGUGGGGAGAUCAGGUCCACAUAAAUGUGGAUCAAACACACACACACACACACACACACACACACACACACACAUAAACUUACAUACAUCUCAGUUGCAGUACCUUUGUCUACCACCCUUCUCUGCCCUUACCAUGUUUGUGCUGCAAAGCUACUAUGAACGGAGUAGAGGUUGUUUACUGUUGGCAAGGCCCUGUUGGCUGGGAAUACCGACUCUACAUCCGGGAGUGUCUCUGUGAAACUAGAAGAGUGCAUUGUUCCUUCCCUGAUAAGGAAUUAGAAAAUAGAGCACAUGCCUAUUCAUUAACUCACACACGCACACAAACCUUCAGUUUAAAUGUUCACCUGUACAUUGACACACACACACACAUACACACACAGACAGACAGACACACACACACAAGGGUGAUGUGACCUUUGUGGAAUGUUGGGAUGCAUGGGAAAUGAAUGUGCUGUUCUAGAAUUUCUCUGGUGUUUCCUCCCGUACAUUCCAAACUAUCCCGUCAUUUGUCAUUCUUGCUCAAUGAGUUGACAUGGACUCGAACUGAACUCGAUAAACUAACAAUAAACCUAUGUACUUAGGUAAACUUAGAGAACAAGGUAGAUUUACAUCAUAUUUGUUGAUUACAAUUGAAAUUGGCCAUAAAUCAACCCAUUAAAGGGAACUGCUUUUCGAUGGCUCAGUUUGAAUAUUUCACCAUAGGCACUUUGAUUUAAAGCCCCCACACCCGGAAUUCCUUAGACUGGAAUAUUAUUACAACAUGAACUUGAGACCCAGUCCCACCCAUUCCAUCAUCCCUCUCACAUUCAAUCACAGUGAUAGAAAUAGUGCUGUGACUGAAAAUAAUGCUCAUACAAUUAGGUAAAGAAAUAUGUAACCCCCACUUUUAAUAGAUUAUUUGUUAUUCAAAUUAUGUUUUUUUUUAAGGUGGAUACAACCAUUGGUAGGUGGUAGUAUUUUAUUCACAGUUAAUUUGUUUUUAUCAAAGUAUGCUCUCUAUCUCAAAAUUAAGACAAUGGCUUUCCAACAUUCAUUUUUCUUUUGUAUCAAUUUCUGGACCGGUAUUGUCUUUGAACACCUACUCACAUUCCAACACAUUAUUAAACAUGACAGCUCCAGAGUGGAAAAAUCUAAGGUGGGCAAUAAUGAUUCCACUUUUCCAAGCCAAGGAUUUGACAGAAACACCUUAACCAUGGAGUGGAGACCUCUGCUGAGAAGAUAAACAAUACUAUGCAGACAAAUCACAGCCAUGUCCAAGGCAGGCACACAACAGACGUCACCCACACACACACACAUACACACAACAGAAACAAACAGAAAACAUGUAUACUGAUACUGCACUCAAACACACACAGAAACAUACACUUAAUUUCUUACGUUUCUACUGUUGCUGUUCAUUCCCUCUCUGCUGCUACACCAAACUAAGUAUAUGUACAUACACCCAAACGAUUAGCAUGUUUCUGCUGACUGGCUAGUAACUGGUUAGAGUCCACAGUUAGAAUGGAUGAGUUCACCUUGGUGCAGCUGUGGCAGUAGUUCUCUCCAUUCUUCCCAGGGGGCAUGAUGAUCUCCCCUGUCGGGAUCAACUGGAUCCUGAGCUCCAUCAUGGUCUCUCACUCUGCCUUUCGUCCACUCAGGCACCCCCCCGAUCGUUUGUCCAAAUUCCUCCUUCAGACAACGAGACGGCACUGCCUGUGACCCUCAGUAGAAAUGUAACGUCACAUAGAGAGCAUUAAGUAGACCAGAAUGUUCCUUUUCUCCGUCGCAUUACGAGGCCGAGACAAACGUUACCUGUGGUAGUGUAGAACGCCUUGGUGAGAAUGUCCCCUUUGGCGAGCGAGGGAUAUUUAGAGACUGCUGGUGUCAGAAUCUUUUCCUACAGUCAGUCCAGCAGUAUAAUUAACUUCCCUGCACACCGGAGAGCUGUGGUGCAAUGCACUCUGGGUUGGCCCGGGAGCCAGGGCUUCCUCCUGGAUCCACGCAUCCUGUCUCAGACGUUCCCGGAGUAAACAGAGGAGAAACCCACUUUGCUUCCUGACGUUUCCUCUGGAUAUGCGACAGUGAGGCAUGCGUACACACCACAUGACCCCCCCUUCCCACCCUACCUCUGCAAAAACAAAUAAGGGACUUGUGCAUCUUGUGUCUUUGGUUUCCUUUUCCCAACGGACAGACCGAUCAAUUGAGACAGGAAGAUGGUCAAAGUGGGUACAGGACAAGAGGUCAUCCCGAACGCAAGCGCACACACACACACGCACGCACACACACACGCACAACCCUGUUGCUAAGAGGGGAAGAGCCAUGGACACACAUCCUUUGACCUGUGACCUGUUCCUGGUCACUGGGCGUCAACAGGAAACUGUGUCCUUGACGUAGUAUGUCAUCAACCCAGCCCGACAGACUGGACGAGCAGAUAGCACACUCACUGGGAACAGCGGAACUGUAUCACAACACAACUACCUCAGUGAGACUGGGAACGGACAUGAGUGAAGGUACAUUCGGCAGAGCGUUGGUCCCAGAUGAUUUCCCUUUUUUAUGAUUUGUUUUUUUUGUCAGCUGCAGAUACAUCAACACCCAACGACCAUAACUCACACUAGGAUGAUCUGAGGUGUGUGUCAGAGACUACAGCUGCUGGUAAUAUCGCAGCAAGUUUGAAGGUCUGCUCAUGACCAGUGAUCUGCCACAGACAAUCCAGGCUUCAACAUUGUUUCCACAGGAAGGCAUGGGACACCAAAUAGACUACUGUUAAAGAAGCACCAGAAAAAAGAACUCAACAAAUGUACUUGGUCCAAAGAUCCAAACACAUCUUCACCCAAGCCACGAGUCUCUUCAGUGAAUUUCAAAAGGUGCCAAAUCUGUUGCAGUCAUCCAUCUAUUUUACAUUCCAGAGAAUUCAACUUUCCAACUCAUCUUCAAGCCCUUGACUAGCAGAAACAGACUCUCUAUAUGCACACAUCCACCAGGGGGUGCAAAAUGAGCUGUUCCAGUAUCAUCCAACGACCAGAAAGGAAUGAGCGAAGAUGUGUGAGCCGGAGGACACUAAGAUGUAUCAGAGCCCAACUUGGAGCGUCAGGGGAAAAUGGUCUGAAUACUUAUGUACAUUCGUUUUUUUUAAAUUACUAUUAUUUUUUUCCCAUUGAAUUGGCACAAAUUUCCAAAACUUGUUUUUGCCUUAUUACGCCGUAUUGUUUAGAAUGAUGGCAUUUUGUCUUUAAACUUUAUAAUCAAGUCCGUAGCAGAAAAUGUUUUGAAGGGAAGCUGUGCGAAUACUUUCCGAAGGCACUGUAAUCCCUCAUUCAUCUGCCCCCACGGCUGCUCCCACCGACCUUCAGUAUAUCUCAGAUGACAGUGACAUAACACGGCCCACCAAAAAUAAAAUGGGCGGACAUUCAACAAGCAAGCUAUCAUUUCAUGACUCAGUUCUAACCAUGCUAGCUGAAUCCCUUAAUUUUAAUCACAAAAAAAAAAAACAGUACGCAAAGAAUUUUUUAAAACAUUCAACGGCAGACUUUUAGGUAUGUUUAAUUUAGAUUGUUAAAUGUUAAUUCCAUGCUGUGUUUCAAUGAGAACAAUACAGAUUCUCAGUGGCUCCAGUCAGAUAUCCAGUAGUACAAAUUAGCUUUAAGUUACACACAACAAAGCAAAAAAGAAAAAUCAGAAAGAAAAAAAAAUAAGAGCUACAUAAAGGUGGGGGAAAGAGGCAGAAGGAAACAUCCGUUGACUCAUGCAGGCUUCAAAUCUUAGAGCGCUGUUCUUUUUUCCCCAUCAGAAGCCAAUCUAGACCGGUCUUUCACUAAAAGAGACAGUUGUCCGGUGGAUUCUUAAAAUCACUAACAGCCACCAUCUGAAAUCAGCACGUGUGCACAAUACAGUAUUUCAGCACAAAGUACAAUCCAAAACACUACAAAACAUUCCAAUAGAAUCACUACGGUGUAAAAGUUAAGCAUUUUGCUCCACAUGGAUAUCCAGAAUUUCGCCAACCUCCUCUGAAAAACGAAUUUAACAAAAGAGCACUUUGUUUAGUCUCGCCCUUAAAAGGUUUAAUGAUUUGCAUCUGAUGUUUCACUAACACAGAAAUAUUACAGCUCCCACAACUAAAAGACAUAUCAGUAAUAAAAGUUAAUUUCUGUAAUUACAUAAAAAAAAAAAAAAA